rnacentral:rRNA from 1 species
AGUGAACGCUGGCGGUAGGCCUAACACAUGCAAGUCGAACGGCAGCACAGUAAGAGCUUGCUCUUAUGGGUGGCGAGUGGCGGACGGGUGAGGAAUACAUCGGAAUCUACUUUUUCGUGGGGGAUAACGUAGGGAAACUUACGCUAAUACCGCAUACGACCUACGGGUGAAAGCAGGGGAUCUUCGGACCUUGCGCGAUUGAAUGAGCCGAUGUCGGAAUAGCUAGUUGGCGGGGUAAAGGCCCACCAAGGCGACGAUCCGUAGCUGGUCUGAGAGGAUGAUCAGCCACACUGGAACUGAGACACGGUCCAGACUCCUACGGGAGGCAGCAGUGGGGAAUAUUGGACAAUGGGCGCAAGCCUGAUCCAGCCAUACCGCGUGGGUGAAGAAGGCCUUCGGGUUGUAAAGCCCUUUUGUUGGGAAAGAAAAGCAGCAGGUUAAUACCCCGCUGUUCUGACGGUACCCAAAGAAUAAGCACCGGCUAACUUCGUG